rnacentral:rRNA from 1 species
GCAUAUACAUGCAGUCGAGCGGACAGAUGGGAGCUUGCUCCCUGAUGUCAGCGGCGGACGGGUGAGUAACACGUGGGUAACCUGCCUGUAAGACUGGGAUAACUCCGGGAAACCGGGGCUAAUACCGGAUGCUUGAUUGAACCGCAUGGUUCAAUUAUAAAAGGUGGCUUUUAGCUACCACUUACAGAUGGACCCGCGGCGCAUUAGCUAGUUGGUGAGGUAACGGCUCACCAAGGCAACGAUGCGUAGCCGACCUGAGAGGGUGAUCGGCCACACUGGGACUGAGACACGGCCCAGACUCCUACGGGAGGCAGCAGUAGGGAAUCUUCCGCAAUGGACGAAAGUCUGACGGAGCAACGCCGCGUGAGUGAUGAAGGUUUUCGGAUCGUAAAACUCUGUUGUUAGGGAAGAACAAGUACCGUUCGAAUAGGGCGGUACCUUGACGGUACCUAACCAGAAAGCCACGGCUAACUACGUGCCAGCAGCCGCGGUAAUACGUAGGUGGCAAGCGUUGUCCGGAAUUAUUGGGCGUAAAGCGCGCGCAGGCGGUUUCUUAAGUCUGAUGUGAAAGCCCCCGGCUCAACCGGGGAGGGUCAUUGGAAACUGGGGAACUUGAGUGCAGAAGAGGAGAGUGGAAUUCCACGUGUAGCGGUGAAAUGCGUAGAGAUGUGGAGGAACACCAGUGGCGAAGGCGACUCUCUGGUCUGUAACUGACGCUGAGGCGCGAAAGCGUGGGGAGCGAACAGGAUUAGAUACCCUGGUAGUCCACGCCGUAAACGAUGAGUGCUAAGUGUUAGAGGGUUUCCGCCCUUUAGUGCUGCAGCAAACGCAUUAAGCACUCCGCCUGGGGAGUACGGUCGCAAGACUGAAACUCAAAGGAAUUGACGGGGGCCCGCACAAGCGGUGGAGCAUGUGGGUUUAAUUUCGAAGCAACGCGAAGAACCUUACCAGGUCUUGACAUCCUCUGACAACCCUAGAGAUAGGGGCUUCCCCUUCGGGGCAGAGUGACAGUGUGCAUGGUGUCGUCAGCUCGUGUCGUGAGAUGGUGGGGUAAGUCCGCAACGAGCG